ACGCUGGCGGCAGGCCUAACACAUGCAAGUCGAACGGUAGCGGGAAGAAGCUUGCUUCUUUGCCGACGAGUGGCGGACGGGUGAGUAAUGUCUGGGAAACUGCCCGAUGGAGGGGGAUAACUACUGGAAACGGUAGCUAAUACCGCAUAACGUCUACGGACCAAAGUGGGGGACCUUCGGGCCUCACACCAUCGGAUGUGCCCAGAUGGGAUUAGCUUGUAGGUGGGGUAACGGCUCACCUAGGCGACGAUCCCUAGCUGGUCUGAGAGGAUGACCAGCCACACUGGAACUGAGACACGGUCCAGACUCCUACGGGAGGCAGCAGUGGGGAAUAUUGCACAAUGGGCGCAAGCCUGAUGCAGCCAUGCCGCGUGUAUGAAGAAGGCCUUCGGGUUGUAAAGUACUUUCAGCGGGGAGGAAGGGAGAAAGGUUAAUAACCUUUUUCAUUGACGUUACCCGCAGAAGAAGCACCGGCUAACUCCGUGCCAGCAGCCGCGGUAAUACGGAGGGUGCAAGCGUUAAUCGGAAUUACUGGGCGUAAAGCGCACGCAGGCGGUCUGUCAAGUCGGAUGUGAAAUCCCCGGGCUUAACCUGGGAACUGCAUUCGAAACUGGCAGGCUAGAGUCUUGUAGAGGGGGGUAGAAUUCCAGGUGUAGCGGUGAAAUGCGUAGAGAUCUGGAGGAAUACCGGUGGCGAAGGCGGCCCCCUGGACAAAGACUGACGCUCAGGUGCGAAAGCGUGGGGAGCAAACAGGAUUAGAUACCCUGGUAGUCCACGCCGUAAACGAUGUCGACUUGGAGGCUGUUCCCCUGAGGAGUGGCUUCCGGAGCUAACGCGUUAAGUCGACCGCCUGGGGAGUACGGCCGCAAGGUUAAAACUCAAAUGAAUUGACGGGGGCCCGCACAAGCGGUGGAGCAUGUGGUUUAAUUCGAUGCAACGCGAAGAACCUUACCUGGCCUUGACAUCCACGGAAUUUUGCAGAGAUGCGGAAGUGCCUUCGGGAACCGUGAGACAGGUGCUGCAUGGCUGUCGUCAGCUCGUGUU
rnacentral:rRNA from 1 species